ACCUCCUCCGCAGCAGGUGUAGUAGCCAACCCUUCUUCCCCAACCUUCUUCUUGGGUCGUUUGGCUUCUUUAGCAUCCAAGUCCAACUCCCCAGGCCGUUUAGAUGAAGAAGCCCUAAUGGGCGAAGUCAAUGGCUUAUUAGAUCUGGGUUUCUUCGCAUUCAAACUUUCCUCCAUAGGUUUCGUCGCAAGAGGUUUAACAUUCGGUGUAGCGGUGUCGGAUUCGGAUUCGG
rnacentral:lncRNA from 1 species